AUAGGUCACCAUAUCACCUUGAACACACCUAAUAUUGUCUGAUUUCAGAAGCUAAGCAAGGUUAGUACUUGGAUGUGAGACUACCAAGGAAUACCAAUG
rnacentral:rRNA from 1 species